rnacentral:rRNA from 1 species
ACGGGUGAGUAACACGUGAGUAACCUGCCCUUAACUCUGGGAUAAGCCUGGGAAACUGGGUCUAAUACCGGAUAGGAGCGUCCACCGCAUGGUGGGUGUUGGAAAGAUUUAUCGGUUUUGGAUGGACUCGCGGCCUAUCAGCUUGUUGGUGAGGUAAUGGCUCACCAAGGCGACGACGGGUAGCCGGCCUGAGAGGGUGACCGGCCACACUGGGACUGAGACACGGCCCAGACUCCUACGGGAGGCAGCAGUGGGGAAUAUUGCACAAUGGGCGCAAGCCUGAUGCAGCGACGCCGCGUGAGGGAUGACGGCCUUCGGGUUGUAAACCUCUUUCAGUAGGGAAGAAGCGAAAGUGACGGUACCUGCAGAAGAAGCACCGGCUAACUACGUGCCAGCAGCCGCGGUAAUACGUAGGGUGCGAGCGUUAUCCGGAAUUAUUGGGCGUAAAGAGCUCGUAGGCGGUUUGUCGCGUCUGUCGUGAAAGUCCGGGGCUUAACCCCGGAUCUGCGGUGGGUACGGGCAGACUAGAGUGCAGUAGGGGAGACUGGAAUUCCUGGUGUAACGGUGGAAUGCGCAGAUAUCAGGAGGAACACCGAUGGCGAAGGCAGGUCUCUGGGCUGUAACUGACGCUGAGGAGCGAAAGCAUGGGGAGCGAACAGGAUUAGAUACCCUGGUAGUCCAUGCCGUAAACCUUGGGCACUAGGUGUGGGGACCAUUCCACGGUUUCCGCGCCGCAGCUAACGCAUUAAGUGCCCCGCCUGGGGAGUACGGCCGCAAGGCUAAAACUCAAAGGAAUUGACGGGGGCCCGCACAAGCGGCGGAGCAUGCGGAUUACUUCGAUGCAACGCGAAGAACCUUACCAAGGCUUGACAUGUUCUCGAUCGCCGUAGAGAUACGGUUUCCCCUUUGGGGCGGGUUCACAGGUGGUGCAUGGUUGUCGUCAGCUCGUGUCGUGAGAUGUUGGGUUAAGUCCCGCAACGAGCGCAACCCUCGUUCCAUGUUGCCAGCACGUCGUGGUGGGGACUCAUGGGAGACUGCCGGGGUCAACUCGGAGGAAGGUGAGGACGACGUCAAAUCAUCAUGCCCCUUAUGUCUUGGGCUUCACGCAUGCUACAAUGGCCGGUACAAUGGGUUGCGAUACUGUGAGGUGGAGCUAAUCCCAAAAAGCCGGUCUCAGUUCGGAUUGGGGUCUGCAACUCGACCCCAUGAAGUCGGAGUCGCUAGUAAUCGCAGAUCAGCAACGCUGCGGUGAAUACGUUCCC